rnacentral:lncRNA from 1 species
UUCAUACCGAAUUAAAGCAGAUAGAUCUUGAUUUUUCCAGAACACACGGCCUCAAAAAUGUAUUAUACAAGCCUCAAUGAAAUGAAACGAUGCUUUUCUCUAGUGAGGAUUUAUGGAUAGAACUGUAGCAAUGCAAAUCACUACAGAUAAAUAAGAUAUGAUGAAGCUUAUGUAGAAGAACUCCAUGUCCAUGAAACCGCACUCCUCACUUUCAUCAUGGGGCACUGCAGGUGUUGAUCAGGUGCUAGUACAGUCAUCAGGUAAUGGAUGGCCGCAAAGAUAUGGAUUUCCCUGAUAACUACCUUCAUCGAAAGUCCAAAACUGAAAUUUCUCUGGCAUCAUACCUGCUAAAUUGUUAUGCGCCACACUAAAG